rnacentral:lncRNA from 1 species
CACUGCUCUGGGGAGGGCAGAGGGCAGGCUGUCAGGGAAUCUACCCAAACUAAGAGAUAAGCAGAGCCAGUAUGAGGGACAUCUCAUGGCUGUCUGGGGCCCAGAGGUUGCUCUACUCCUGAGAAGGUUCUUUUUGGCCAAACCAGCCUUGAAGACAAAAAUUACACACUCCUUUUUGAGCAGAGUGACUGGAACACUUGGGGACUACCUCAGGGAAGCUAUCUACCAGCAGUAGGGAGCAGUAACGGGGCCAUGGAUAUCAGAGGGGCCAGGAGUGGAGCAGUGGCUUCUCAGGCCCCUGGACAUACUGCAAGGUGCUGGGUGGGGUGCAGGGCCCAUCGAAGGUACUAAGGUUCCAAGGGCAGGAAAGAGAGCACGCCUGAGCUGGACUCCUCCGGAGCCUCACUGGAUGACCCUGAAUUUCCACGGGGCAAUUAACUUAUUUGUUCAUGUUCAUUUUUAUUCAUUCAACCAACAUAUAUUUACUGAAUACUUACUGUGUGCCAAGCACUGUGCUGGCAGUGAGUGAGACAGCAAGGAAGCCUAUCGUCAAAGAGCACUGUGUACUGAGAAACCAGUACGGGAGGAACAAUAACACAAAGGAGAGUGGCCUGACUACUGUGAUGGUGCCGCAAAAGAAAGGGGCACGAAGUGCUAGGGCCAUUCAACCCAGCCAGAGGGUAAGAUAAGGCGACACUGAGAUCUGAAGGAGGGCCGGAGGUCACUAGUGAGUGCAGUGGAGGAUGGAGUGCGUCACGGAGACACGUCUGCAUCAAGACCAUUUUUGGGCCCCCAGCCCACAGCUAGCUUCUGGUGCCCCUCCGUGUGGUCAUGUGACUCAACUGUGGUCAGUGCAAUGUGGGCACAAGUCAGGCACAGCCCACACCCAAAUCUCCCGCAGAGCCUCCGCUUUCUCACCACACUCCCACCACCGACCAUCUACCCACCAGAUACACAGGACCAAGAAGGGGACUCUUAAGACCCCACAUGAUGACACAGCCAUGGCCAGAGGGACUUGGGUCUCUGGAUAAUCAUAUGGAAGGCCACAACCUGCCAACCAGGAUUAUCCACAGUGGACUUUGUAAAG